CAGGCAGUCAAUAUUACAAGUGGCAAUUUAACUAAUGAUUAUGUUAGUUUGUCCAAAUACUCUUAAAUUAUAGACUGCACUUAUACUGUGUUAGACAGCUACAGUCAUGUGAAAAAAUAAGUACACCCCAUGGAAAUUGUUGGCUCUAAAAAAUGCUGGGUUAUUCUUUCUACCCAAACGUUGGGUUUAGCCUUUUGGGUGAUUUAAUUGGGCAAUAUUUUCUCAAUCUUGGGUAGUUUUUGGGUAGUUUUGUGUAACCCAACCGCUGGGUUAGUAGCUGGGUCAUUUUCACUGACAGUUGAAUCAAUGCACCUGUCCCCCACCUUGACGCAUCAGCCCAGCUCCUUGGGUCAAAUCACCUCAGCGCUGACUGUUUGAAUUGGCCUCAGGUGGAGGUAGCGGUUUUCACACGGACAGACUGUCUGAUUUGUUUAGAGAAACACACUCAGAAAGGAUGUUAAUAUCCUACACACUGUUUGUGUUAUUACUAUUUCAACAUGAUAAAUUAUCCAAUAAUAAAAAAAAAACAUUAAAAAAGAAAACAAAUUCACACACGUGCUUUGAUCUUUGGUUGUGACAGCGGAGUCGGAGUCCUGAGGCGAGGAAACCAAAAGACUAUGGCUUUUUAACUGGAAGGGAGUGGGACUCCUGUCUUCCCAGAUGGAGGGAGAUUUAUAAGAAGAUACAUCAACUCCAAUUCUUACAUCUGUCAAAUGUUUGAAUGAUUUUAAUAAAUGUCACCUGAAUUUCA